CAGCCGCCACGGUAAUACAGAGGGUGCAAGCGUUAAUCGGAAUUACUGGGCGUAAAGCGCGCGUAGGUGGUUUGUUAAGUUGGAUGUGAAAGCCCCGGGCUCAACCUGGGAACUGCAUCCAAGACUGGCAAGCUAGAGUACGGUAGAGGGUGGUGGAAUUUCCUGUGUAGCGGUGAAAUGCGUAGAUAUAGGAAGGAACACCAGUGGCGAAGGCGACCACCUGGACUGAUACUGACACUGAGGUGCGAAAGCGUGGGGAGCAAACAGGAUUAGAGACCCGAGUAGUCCCUGUCUCUUAUAC
rnacentral:rRNA from 1 species